rnacentral:lncRNA from 1 species
GCAUGCUGGUGGGGAUUCUCUUAUCCGGGAGAACGGAGAACUGGCUGCCACUCGCUUAUUCAUAGCAAAUGGAAUUCUUGGGCCGGCACAUUGCCCGGAAACUCAACAUCAACUACUUUGACUACCUGGCUUCCUCCUAUCGUCAUGUGGUCCGCCACUGGCCACUGGGGGCCACCUUUAGCCCUGGUAUUGUGCAUCGAAAAACACAAGUCUACACUAAGUCAAGUGUCAGCGAACUGGAUGUGUAACCCCUGGGGCCUGAACCCUGGCCUCCUUUUGCAUACCCUACCUCCCUUAUCCCCAUCCUGGAGGGACUGACACCCAGCCCCACCUACUGCCCUUCCUCUAACUAAAGCUGCUUUAGCCUCCAAC